rnacentral:rRNA from 1 species
UUGAACGCUGGCGGCAUGCCUAACACAUGCAAGUCGAACGAGGGUAGCAAUACUCUAGUGGCGGACGGGUGAGUAAUACGUAGGAAUUUGCCCUUAAGUGGGGGAUAACCCGGGGAAACCCGGACUAAUACCGCAUGAUCUUUUCGAAGCAAAGCUGGGGACCUUCGGGCCUGGCGCUUUUGGAGAAGCCUACGUCGGAUUAGCUAGUUGGUAGGGUAAUGGCCUACCAAGGCGACGAUCCGUAACUGGUCUGAGAGGAUGAUCAGUCACACCGGAACUGAGACACGGUCCGGACUCCUACGGGAGGCAGCAGUGGGGAAUAUUGGACAAUGGGCGAAAGCCUGAUCCAGCAAUGCCGCGUGUGUGAAGAAGGCCUUCGGGUUGUAAAGCACUUUAGGCUGGAAAGAAAAAACUUCGGUUAAUAGUCGAAGUCUUGACGGUACCAGCAGAAUAAGCACCGGCUAACUCUGU